UAGUACCUGCGAGUGAAGCGGGAAAAGCUCAAAUUUAAAAUCUGGCAGCCUUUGGUUGCCCGACUUGUAUUCUGGACAAGUGUUUUCUGCGCUGGACCGUGUACAAGUCUUUUGGAACAGAGCAUCAUACAGGGUGAGAAUCCCGUCUUUGACAUGGACUACCAGUGCUUUGUGAUGCGCUCUCAAAGAGUCGAGCUGUUUGGGAAUGCAGGUCAAAAUGGGUGGUGAAUUCCAUCUAAAGCUAAAUAUUGCUCGAGAGACCGAUAGCGAACAAGUACCGUGAGGGAAAGAUGAAAAGCACUUUGGAAAGAGAGUUAAACAGUACGUGAAAUUGCUGAAAGGGAAACGCUUGAAGUCAGUCGUGUUGUCUGGGACUCAGCCUUGCUUUUGCUUGGUGCAUUUUCCAGAUGACAGGCCAGCAUCAAUUUUGACUGUUGGAAAAGGGCUAGGGUAAUGUGGCACCUCUGGGUGUGUUAUAGACUCUGGUCAUAUACAGGAGGUGGGAUUGAGGAAUGCAGCACGCCGCAAGGCAGGGGUUCGCCCACUUUCGUGCUUAGGAUGCUGGCAUAAUGGCUUUAAACGAC
rnacentral:rRNA from 1 species